UCCCAUAGGCUUACGGUCGGUCUCUAUCAUGAUCUUCUUCUCCAUCAUUACCGACGUCGGCCAUCCCUUCCGAUCUCCAAAUGGUUUCCUUCUCACAUAUCUCCGAAAAAAGACUAACGUCCUUCCCGCUCUUCUGCCUGUUUCCACAAUCGCUCUCCUCCUACUCAUCAGCAUCGGCUCUACCCUCCAAUCUCCCGCAGGU
rnacentral:lncRNA from 1 species